UACAGAGGUCCCAAGCGUUUGUUCGGAUUCACUGGGCGUAAAGGGUGCGUAGGUGGCCAGGUAAGUUCGGUGUGAAAGCUCGGAGCUCAACUCCGAAAUGUCAUUGAAUACUAUCUGGCUGGAGGGUCGGAGGGGAGACUGGAAUUCUCGGUGUAGCAGUGAAAUUCGUAGAUAUUCGGAAGAACACCAGUGGCGAAGGCGACUUACUGGACACAUAUUGACGCUGAGGUGCGAAAGCGUGGGGAGCAAACAGG
rnacentral:rRNA from 1 species